UACGUAGGGCGCGAGCGUUGUCCGGAAUUAUUGGGCGUAAAGAGCUCGUAGGCGGCCGGUUGCGUCUGCUGUGAAAUCCCGGGGCUUAACCCCGGGCGUGCAGUGGAUACGGGCCGGCUGGAGGCAGGCAGGGGAGAAUGGAAUUCCCGGUGUAGCGGUGAAAUGCGCAGAUAUCGGGAGGAACACCGGUGGCGAAGGCGGUUCUCUGGGCCUGUACUGACGCUGAGAAGCGAAAGCAUGGGGAGCGAACAGG
rnacentral:rRNA from 1 species